rnacentral:rRNA from 1 species
GACAGAGGGUGCAAACGUUGUUCGGAAUUACUGGGCGUAAAGCGCGUGUAGGCUGCUCGGAAAGUCGGAUGUGAAAGCCCCGGGCUCAACCUGGGAAUGGCAUUGGAAACUGGCGGACUCGAGUGUGGCAGAGGGGGGUGGAAUUCCGCGUGUAGCAGUGAAAUGCGUAGAGAUGCGGAGGAACACCGAUGGCGAAGGCAGCCCCCUGGGCUAACACUGACGCUCAGGCACGAAAGCGUGGGGAGCAAACAGG